rnacentral:misc_RNA from 1 species
UCUCCGUAGGUGAACCUGCGGAGGGAUCAUUACUGAGUGAGGGCUCACGCCCGACCUCCAACCCUUUGUGAACCGCAUCUUGUUGCUUCGGGGGUGACCCUGCCGUCCGCGGACGGGCACCCCCGGAGGUCAUCAAACCCUGCGUAACUAAGUCGUCGGAGUUUAAACAAAUUAAACAAAACUUUCAACAACGGAUCUCUUGGUUCGGGCAUCGAUGAAGAACGCAGC